GACGAAGGGGGCUAGCGUUGUUCGGAAUCACUGGGCGUAAAGCGUACGUAGGCGGACCGUUAAGUCGGAGGUGAAAGCCUGGAGCUCAACUCCAGAACUGCCUUCGAUACUGGCGGUCUCGAGUCCGGGAGAGGUGAGUGGAACUGCCAGUGUAGAGGUGAAAUUCGUAGAUAUUGGCAAGAACACCAGUGGCGAAGGCGGCUCACUGGCCCGGUACUGACGCUGGGGUACGAAAGCGUGGGGAGCAAACAGG
rnacentral:rRNA from 1 species